CAAUGUGACCUGCUUUCAACAUGGAUUGAAGAGACAAUAGCUGGAUGGUAGCACAGCUCCUCUCUAAAACCACUCUGAUGUUGUUUUCUCACACUGUCUGACUGUGUUAUAUCAGACAGGUAGACAGUUCCCCCUCACACUGUCUGACUGUGUUAUAUCAGACAGGUAGACAGUUCCCCCUCACACUGUCUGACUGUGUUAUAUCAGACAGGCAGACAGUGUUAUAUCAGACAGGUAGACAGUUCCCCUCACACUGUGUUAUAUCAGACAGGUAGACAGUUCCCCCUCACACUGUCUGACUGUGUUAUAUCAGACAGGCAGACAGUGUUAUAUCAGACAGGUAGACAGUUCCCCUCACACUGUGUUAUAUCAGACAGGUAGACAGUUCCCCCUCACACUGUCUGACUGUGUUAUAUCAGACAGGCAGACAGUGUUAUAUCAGACAGGUAGACAGCUCCCCCUCACACUGUGUUAUAUCAGACAGGCAGACAGUUCCCCUCACAUUGUCUGACUGUGUUAUAUCAGACAGGUAGACUGCUCCUCCUCACACUGUGUUAUAUCAGACAGGUAGACAGUUCCCCUCACACUGCGUUGUAUCAGACAGGUAGACAGGUAGACCGUGUUAUAUCAGACAGGUAGACAGGUAGACUGUGUUAUAUCAGACAGGUAGACAGGUAGACUGUGUUAUAUCAGACAGGUAGACAGGUAGACUGUGUUAUAUCAGACAGGUAGACAGCUCCUCCUCACACUGUGUUAUCUCAGACAGGUAGACAGUUCCCCUCACACUGUGUUAUCUCAGACAGGUAGACAGUCUCCUCACACUGUGUUAUCUCAGACAGGUAGACUGUGUUAUAUCAGACAGGUAGACAGCUCCCCUCACACUGUCUGACUGUGUUAUAUCAGACAGGUAGACUGUGUUAUAUCAGUCAGGUAGACAGCUCCCCCUCACACUGUGUUAUAUCAGACUGGUAGACAGUUCCCCCUCACACUGUGUUAUAUCAGACAGGUAGACUGUGUUAUAUCAGACAGGUAGACAGCUCUCCUCAGACUGUGUUAUAUCAGACAGGUAGACAGUUCCCCCUCACACUGUGUUAUAUCAGACAGGUAGACAGCUCCCCCUCACACUGUGUUAUAUCAGACAGGUAGACAGCUCCCCCGCACACUGUGUUAUAUCAGACAGGUAGACAGCUCCCCCUCACACUGUGUUAUAUCAGACAGGUAGACAGCUCCCCCUCACACUGUGUUAUAUCAGACAGGUAGACAGCUCCCCCUCACACUGUGUUAUAUCAGACAGGUAGACAGCUCCCCCUCACACUGUGUUAUAUCAGACAGGUAGACAGUUCCCCUCACCCUGUCUGACUGUGUUAUAUCAGACAGGUA